GACGAACGCUGGCGGCGUGCCUAAUACAUGCAAGUAGAACGCUGAAGGAGGAGCUUGCUCUUCUGGAUGAGUUGCGAACGGGUGAGUAACGCGUAGGUAACCUGCCUGGUAGCGGGGGAUAACUAUUGGAAACGAUAGCUAAUACCGCAUAAAAUUGAUUAUUGCAUGAUAGUCAAUUAAAAGGUGCAAUUGCAUCACUACCAGAUGGACCUGCGUUGUAUUAGCUAGUUGGUGAGGUAACGGCUCACCAAGGCAACGAUACAUAGCCGACCUGAGAGGGGGAGCGGCCACACUGGGAAUGAGACACGGCCCAGACGCCUACGGGAGGGAGCAGUAGGGAAUCUUCGGCAAUGGACGGAAGUCUGACCGAGCAACGCCGAGGGAGGGAAGAAGGGUUUCGGAUCGUAAAGCUCUGUUGUAAGAGAAGAAAGAGUGUGAGAGUGGAAAGUUCACACUGUGACGGUAUCUUACCAGAAAGGGACGGCUAACUACGUG
rnacentral:rRNA from 1 species